CUCGCACGCAGCAGCUGCAGACGCUGCCCGGCGCGGUGGGGCUGUGAGCAAAACGGCCCGCCGGUGUGGUUGCCCAGACUGUGCUGGGCCCUCCUAGGUGGAUGGCCCUGCCCCAGCCUAACUUCUGUACCCCAGCAUAACCUCCAAAGUAACAGCCGUGCCCUGGGAGCCUGUUCAACACUGAACAUAUCCCACAAUAACACUGUUCCAGCGUCGCUGGUAAAAAGCAGAAAUGGCUUCGCUGGAGGCAUCGACAAAUCUAAUGCAGUAACCUCAUUUUACAGAAGAGAACUCUAAGAGGAUAACUAACUUGGCCAAGAUCACAUGAAGAAUCUCUUCCUUCUUCUACUGGUUCAUCCAUACAAAGUACAACCUACCCACAGGAAUCUCACUCAUACCAAACAUUUUCCAUCUGACUGGAAGGCUGACACCUGUUCCUGAGUGAUGUUUCUGGAUGAGAUUAGCAUUCAAAUUCGUGGACUCAUUAAAGUAGAUGGCUCUCUCCAAUAUGGGUGGGCAUCAUCCAAUCUGUUGAAGGCGUGAAGAGAACAAGAGAAGGAGGAAGGAAGAAUUCACCUUUUUUCUUGCUGCCCACCUGCUUGGGCUGGGACAUUGCAUCUCACCUUCUCCAGCCUUUGGAUGAGGAUUUACACCCUGGUUCUCAGGCCUUCAGGCUCUAACUGGAGCUACACUAUCAACUUUCCUGGGCCUCCAGAUUGCAGAUGGUGGAUCACGGUACUUUUUAGCCUCCAUCAUAAUAUGAGAAAAAAGAGGCACAGUGAAGCUAAAUAUAUUGGCUAAAGAUCACAAAGCUAAGUUGAAAUUUUUCAAGAUGAAAAGUUGCUAAAGAAAGAGAAAGGGAAGCGGUUUGCUCCAGUAUUCCUCUUUCCACCUUCCCACUGACUGGGAAGCGGCGGUUAGCAGAGCCACAGUCUUGGAUUAGAGAUAAGAGGGACAUGUUGAGGAAGGUGGAGUCUCCCCCACAGCCCUGGACCAGUACGGAAUCCCUGUAUUCUAGGAUUUGGCAAGCUGUCCACUGAAACAUUAUUUUUCCCAGCCUUCUUUGCAGAGGUGGGGAAACUGAGGCAAAGGGUGUUUAAAUGGUCUGCCCAAAGUCACACAGCUAAGAAGCAGUGAUGGGAUAUGAAGUCAAACAGUCUUAAAAGCAAGCUAUCCUGUUGCAAAAUAGAAAUUAGUUGAUAACGUCUUCCAGGAGACCUACGGCCAUCCUACUGAUAUGAACCAGAUCAUACCUGCCCUGAUGGGAUGCCAGAGAAAGACUGCUGCAAGGGAUCCUCUGGAAACAGAACAGAGGGAAGAAGAUACCUUCCCUGAAGCCCAGAUGUUCCAGAAGCCUGCGCCUCAUUCACAAAGUCACCCCAAAAAUGCCCUAGAGUUUGGAGUUUUGAAGAAGCGGGAAGAAGGCCUGAGUAAGGGCCUGGGAACCAAGUUAGAUCCUACUUCAGCAUCAGCACAUGCCAGCGAUGGUGCACACAGGUGGAGAGCGGCCUGCCCGUCUUUUCCAUGGUGCCCACAGACCCAUUUAGGAUGAAAGAUCAGAAAAUUCUCUCCAUGUCACCGCUUCUGAAACAUGUGAAUAUUAAUAUUUGGUGCCUAAAAGGCCAUGGCAAAUUUUCAUUGGUUUUAUCUUAUUCAUGAUUAUAGAGUUGAAAGAAUACAUAUUCCCAUGGGGAUCAAUGAAGACAUUCUCAUUUUGAAUGAAGUAGAAUAUAAGUUGUAAAGAUAUAGAAUUUUCCUGAACUGAACCUUGAACCAAAAAUCCCCUCAAUUAACCUGGAACUAAACACAGUCCCUGAAGAUAACAAGGAGUUUCAGGAUGCCACAGGGCUGUCUGUGCAGUAUGGGGCUUCUUGCUCUAUCUCUGGUAUCUGAGGCAGAUAGGCUACUCAGGCCCCUCUCUGGUCUCAAGGUGGGCUGGCUGAGAUGUCAGUUUCUUCCUCAGUGACAGCUUGGGUACAGUAUGUGUAAACUGAUUGUCAGCUGAGCUGAAGGGACUCUGCCCAUAUUGGAGUGUUCUACAAGAAGAGGUGUCAAACCUAAAGGUCUAAAAUUACUAUGAAAGGAGUAUUGGAAACCACUGGGACAAUUGUGAUCACAACUGGUGGUAGCCUUCUCGUUUGGGUGAGAAAGACAGAAAGGAGGAAGAUGUGUUAGUCAAGGUUCUCUAGAGGGACAAAACUAAUAGGAUAUAUGUAUAUAUGAGAGGGAGUUUAUUAAGGAGAAUUGACUCACUUGAUCACAAGGUAAAGUCCCAAGAUAGGCUGUCUGCAAGUUGAGGAGCAAGGAAGUCAUUGGUGGAUUGUUCUGGGUACCAAAACCUCAAAAGUAGGGAAAUCGACAGUGCAGCCUUCAGUCUGUGGUCAAAGGCUCGAGGGGCCCUGGCAGACCACUGGUGUAAGUCCAAGAGUCCCAGAAGCUGAAGAACUUGGAGUCUGAUGUUUGAGGGCAGGAAGCAUCCAGCACAGGAGAAAGACGGAUGCUGGAAGACUUAGCAAGUCUGUUCUUUCCAAUUUCUUCUGCCUGCUUUUAUUCUAGCCAUGCUGGCAGCUGAUUAGAUGGUGCCCUCCCAAAUUGAGGGUGGCUGUGCCUCUCCCAGUCCACUGACUCAAAUGUUAAUCUCCUUUGGCAACACCCUCACAGACACACCCAGGAACAAUACUUUGCAUCCUUCAUUCCAAUCAAGUUGACACUCAAUAUUAACCAUCACAGAAGGAGAAUUUCAGGCUGAGUCCAAACACUAUGGCCCCAGCCCCAGCUUCCCCUUUCUGGGUUGAAUAACCAGACUGAGCCUAAGAAAAGGAAAAGAGUUGACUUUCUCCCAAAAGGCCUGCAGCGGGUUAGAAAGCAAUGGUUUGGGGACCAUACUGAGUGCCUAGGAUGCUCUGGACCACAAAGCUUGAAGUCAAAUUGUUCAUGCACUUGUUUCAUGAUAGGAAGAGAGAGAGAGAGAGAGAGAGAGAGAGAGAAAUUUCCUUUCCUUGAAGAAUGGCAAAACACGUCUCUUGUUCUGGGGGCUAUAUCUUGAAGGGUAUCUGAUCUCCCCCUCAUGGGAGGAACUAGAAUGCCCUAAGGCAGCCGUGGCUCCUGGAGCUGAGAGAUCUUUCUGACACUUUGUGAGAGCUGCAAGGCUAAGUCUGGAGCCAGAAAAGUCCAUGUGGACAAGUGCAGAGCAAGCAGAUCUGAGACACAUGUGGGAGCAAGCUGGACAUGUCCAAAAGUCAGAGGAAGCAAGAGCAGACAUGCAUGAGCAGGCAGAUGAGGCUGGUGCCCAGGCAGCAGGCUGAGGCUCUGGCUGGGCUUUGGAUGCUCCUGAGAGUCCAGUUAGAGACCAGUGAGCAAACCCACAGUGAACUCUUAUUCCUCACGCAGCAGGACGAGGGAUUAAGCACAAAGCCUUAAAGGUCUGAGUGUCUCUUUAUCCUGACCUCAGGAAAGAGAGGCAAGUAUCAUGUUUCUAAAAGUCUGAGAAGUCUUCACAUGACAGCCUACACCAAAAGAACUCAAAUGCACAUCCACUGCAUACACGCAUGUGUGCACACAUAUACAUGUGUACACAUGCAUGCCCACACACAACCCUCUGGAAGAGGAAGUAAAGAGACUUUAUGUUUUCAGCCCCUCUUGAGGAAACUUAAACUAAGUCUUUCUGUGGGGUUAGUGGUGGAGACAGAGAGGGUCUGGGGUCACCGAGGCCGAGGUGGCUGGACCCAGAGGGUAGAGCUGAGGGGAUCCCCUGAGACUGGGAAGAUGGAGCAGAAGCAGAUGGCAGAUGGCAGCAGGUGAGAGCAGACUGGAUUUCUCCUAAAUCACCAGAUCCAGCCAACCUUUCUUUCCUUAGGGACACCUCUAGAUCCCAUUCCAAAUGAACUCUUUCUCUGACCUUUCACCUCAAUUCAGAAUUUGGGAAAUUUAGCCAUGAUCUUAGGAACACAGAGGCUUGAAACAAUCUUUUCUAACCACCCGUUUGUUCAGACUGUGUAAGUUCUGCUUCUGCAUCCAGUGUCAACACCCAAGAACCAUUUUAAAGGGGAGCCAUCCUUUGAAAUUAAACUUCUUUUAAUAAUAAAGACAGAUUUCAGGGUUGACAUAAAAGAUAGCCACAGUAAAGCCAAUCCUCCAGUGUAUAACAUUUUUCAAAGUUUCCUUCCUCUUCAUUGCUGGUGUUCAUGUACAGUCCAGAGUUAGUCUACAUUAAAUUAUAGAUUGUUUUCAGCAAUAAUGCAAACAUUUGGAAGCCUUCAAACUCUCUGAUAACUAACUUCUACAUUCUCUCUGCUAUUAUUAUAUAGAAAGGGAAAUUUUACCUGAUGCUGUUAAAGUCCUCACGAACAUAGUGAUCCGAAUUGGCUGAAGUGGAAAACUAAAUGUUAGCUGAUUUUCAAAACAAGAUUUCCACUCUGAAUUCCCAUUUUUCACAUGUGAUCAUAUGCCUUGUUGUGAAGUUGAACUAAAAAGAAACUCCAUGCCCACUGGCUUAAUGCUAGAAGAUAAUCUACAGCAUAGUAAUUUCUUAGACUUCACUUUAUUAGCCACUAAACUUGGAAUGAUUAUUUCUAUGUUCAAUUAUUAAGUCUAUAUCUCCAUUUCUUAAAAAGGUCUGAGGCAGCCCCUUUGAAUAUUAAUACGCAUUUAUUUUCACCUCUCAAAUAAAA
rnacentral:lncRNA from 10 species